rnacentral:rRNA from 1 species
UCCGCAGACAGGGCGGAUGAGGGGUUGGAAGAAGUCCCAACCCCUGUGACAUACCAAUUGUUGCCUCGGCGGAUCAGCCCGCUCCCGGUAAAACGGGACGGCCCGCCAGAGGACCCCUAAACUCUGUUUCUAUAUGUAACUUCUGAGUAAAACCAUAAAUAAAUCAAAACUUUCAACAACGGAUCUCUUGGUUCUGGCAUCGAUGAAGAACGCAGCAAAAUGCGAUAAGUAAUGUGAAUUGCAGAAUUCAGUGAAUCAUCGAAUCUUUGAACGCACAUUGCGCCCGCCAGUAUUCUGGCGGGCAUGCCUGUUCGAGCGUCAUUUCAACCCUCAAGCCCAGCUUGGUGUUGGGACUCGCGAGUCAAAUCGCGUUCCCCAAAUUGAUUGGCGGUCACGUCGAGCUUCCAUAGCGUAGUAGUAAAACCCUCGUUACUGGUAAUCGUCGCGGCCACGCCGUUAAACCCCAACUUCUGAAUGUUGACCUCGGAUCAGGUAGGAAUACCCGCUGAACUUAAGCAUAUCAAUAAGCGGAGGA